rnacentral:rRNA from 1 species
AGUGGCGAACGGGUGAGUAACACGUGGGCAACCUGCCCAAAANAGGGGGAUAACACUUGGAAACAGGUGCUAAUACCGCAUAACCAUAGUUACCGCAUGGUAACUAUGUAAAAGGUGGCUAUGCUACCGCUUUUGGAUGGGCCCGCGACGCAUUAGCUAGUUGGUGGGGUAAAGGCUUACCAAGGCAAUGAUGCGUAGCCGAACUGAGAGGUUGAUCGGCCACAUUGGGACUGAGACACGGCCCAAACUCCUACGGGAGGCAGCAG